rnacentral:rRNA from 1 species
UGGCUUUUAAANGGAGGCGAGCAUGAAUGGGNNUACGGAAAUAAGCUGUCUCUUUUUGGUUAUAUUGAAGUUUCUUUAAGGGUGCAAAGUCCCUUGAUUAGAAAAAAGACGAGAAGACCCUUAGAGUUUUUAUUAAAGAUAAGAAUUUAUUCAAGUUUUUGCUGGGGCGGCAAAGAGACAAGUGAUUAAACUCUCUUUUUAUUGUUUUUAGAAGACGAAAAUGUUAAGAAUCAUUAAACUACCUUAGGGAUAACAGCAUAAUUAAGUUUUAGUUUGUGACCUCGAUGUUGGACUAGGAAGACUUUUGACCAGCAGUCAAAAAGUGUGGUUCUGUUCGAACUAA